GAUGAACGCUGGCGGCGUGCCUAAUACAUGCAAGUCGAGCGAACAGAUAAGGAGCUUGCUCCUUUGACGUUAGCGGCGGACGGGUGAGUAACACGUGGGUAACCUACCUAUAAGACUGGGAUAACUUCGGGAAACCGGAGCUAAUACCGGAUAACAUUUGGAACCGCAGGGUUCUAAAGUGAAAGAUGGUUUUGCUAUCACUUAUAGAUGGACCCGCGCCGUAUUAGCUAGUUGGUAAGGUAACGGCUUACCAAGGCGACGAUACGUAGCCGACCUGAGAGGGUGGUCGCCCACCCUGGAACUGAGACACGGUCCAGACUCCUACGGGAGGCAGCAGUAGGGAAUCUUCCGCAAAGGGCGAAAGCCUGACGGAGCAACGCCGCGUGAGUGAUGAAGGGUUUCGGCUCGUAAAACUCCGUUAUUAGGGAAGAACAAAUGUGUAAGUAACUGUGCACGUCUUGACGGUACCUAAUCAGAAAGCCACGGCUAACUACGUG
rnacentral:rRNA from 1 species